UAGGGAAUCUUCCACAAUGGACGCAAGUCUGAUGGAGCAACGCCGCGUGAGUGAAGAAGGUUUUCGGAUCGUAAAGCUCUGUUGUUGGUGAAGAAGGAUAGAGGCAGUAACUGGUCUUUAUUUGACGGUAAUCAACCAGAAAGUCACGGCUAACUACGUGCCAGCAGCCGCGGUAAUACGUAGGUGGCAAGCGUUGUCCGGAUUUAUUGGGCGUAAAGCGAGCGCAGGCGGAAUGAUAAGUCUGAUGUGAAAGCCCACGGCUCAACCGUGGAACUGCAUCGGAAACUGUCAUUCUUGAGCGCAGAAGAGGAGAGUGGAAUUCCAUGUGUAGCGGUGGAAUGCGUAGAUAUAUGGAAGGACACCAGUGGCGAAGGCGGCUCUCUGGGCUGCAACUGACGCUGAGGCUCGAAAGCAUGGGUAGCGAGCAGG
rnacentral:rRNA from 1 species